GACGAACGCUGGCGGCGUGCUUAACACAUGCAAGUCGAACGAUGAAGCUGGAGCUUGCUCCGGUGGAUUAGUGGCGAACGGGUGAGUAACACGUGAGCAAUCUGCCCUUGACUCUGGGAUAACUGCGGGAAACUGUAGCUAAUACCGGAUACGAGGCUCGAAGGCAUCUUCGGGUCUGGAAAGAAUUUCGGUCAAGGAUGGGCUCGCGGCCUAUCCGCUUGUUGGUGAGGUAAUGGCUCACCAAGGCGACGACGGGUAGCCGGCCUGGGAGGGUGACCGGCCACACUGGGACUGAGACACGGCCCAGACUCCUACGGGAGGCAGCAGUGGGGAAUAUUGCACAAUGGGCGAAAGCCUGAUGCAGCAACGCCGCGUGAGGGAUGAAGGCCUUCGGGUUGUAAACCUCUUUUAGCAGGGAAGAAGCGAAAGUGACGGUACCUGCAGAAAAAGCACCGGCUAACUACGUGCCAGCAGCCGCCGUAA
rnacentral:rRNA from 1 species